AUACGGAGGGGGCUAACGUUGCUCGGAAUUACUGGGCGUAAAGGGCGCGUAGGCGGGACGUCAAGUCAGGGGUGAAAGGCCUGGGCUCAACCUAGGAACUGCCUUUGAAACUGACGACCUUGAGUACGGGAGAGGAUGGCGGAAUUCCCAGUGUAGAGGUGAAAUUCGUAGAUAUUGGGAAGAACACCGGUUGCGAAGGCGGCCAUCUGGACCGUUACUGACGCUGAGGUGCGAAAGCGUGGGGAGCAAACAGGAUUAGAAACCCCGGUAGUCC
rnacentral:rRNA from 1 species